GCUCAAGAACUAGCGACGAAGAAGAAGAAGAAGAAUCUGAACUUCAAUCUAAUUC
rnacentral:sRNA from 1 species